GACGUAGGGCGCGAGCGUUGUCCGGAUUUAUUGGGCGUAAAGAGCUCGUAGGCGGCUUGUUGCGUCGACUGUGAAAACCCGCGGCUCAACCGUGUGGCUUGCAGUCGAUACGGGCAGGCUAGAAUUCGGUAGGGGAGACUGGAAUUCCUGGUGUAGCGGUGAAAUGCGCAGAUAUCGGGAAGAACACCCGUGGCGAAGGCGGUUCUCUGGGACGGUACUGACGCUGAGACGCGAAAGCGUGGGGAGCGAACAGG
rnacentral:rRNA from 1 species